rnacentral:misc_RNA from 1 species
AAAGUCGUAACAAGGUAACCGUAGGUGAACCUGCGGUUGGAUCAUUAAAAAGAUCAGAGCCCGAGGCAAAGACAGGAUGCUUGCGUCCGUCGGAGCGCUAGGGCUUCUCGCUGAACAAGUGAGGCAACAUUAUGUGAACUGUUUUGUCUCUGGCGGUGGGGUAGUGUCAAAACUACCUGUCAGCAUCCGGGUUCUCUCGGUGUGCCGUGGACAAGCCGUCAAUGGUGUAUGUUUCAUACAAACUUUUGUUUCAUCAAUCUGUCUGACAUACCUUUGUAUCUAAAAUAUACAAAAACAACUUUUGGCAACGGAUCUCUUGGCUCCC